rnacentral:pre_miRNA from 9 species
UCUCGAUAGCGUAAAAGUUAAGUGAAAUUUGUAUGGAGUUGGAACGUUCGUUUACGUUUGCCGUUAGGGACGCUGUUUCAACUUCAUACAAAUUUGUUACUUUUACCCUAUCGA